GACGAACGCUGGCGGCGUGCCUAAUACAUGCAAGUCGAACGCAGUGGGGACGGGUGAGUAACACGUGGGUAACCUCCCAUCAAGGGGGAUAACACUUGGAAACAGGUGCUAAACCGAUACUGAUGGAUGGACCCGCGGGGCAUUAGCUAGUUGGGGAGGUAACGGCUCACCAACGCCACGAUGCAUAGCGGACCUGAGAGUGUGAUCGGCCACCCUGGGACUGAGACACGGCCCAGGCGCCUACGGGCGGCAGCAGUAGGGAAUCUGCGGCUAUGGACGAAAGUCUGACCGAGCAACGCCGCGUGAGUGAAGAAGGUUUUCGGUUCGUAAAACUCUGUUGUUAGUUAAGCGGUAGCUAACCAGAAAGCCACGGCUAACUACGUGCCAGCAGCCGCGGUAAUAC
rnacentral:rRNA from 1 species